CCUACGGGUGGCAGCAGUGAGGAAUAUUGGUCAAUGGGCGUAAGCCUGAACCAGCCACGUCGCGUGAGGGAUGAAGGUUCUAUGGUGCGUAAACCUCUUUUAUAAGGGAAUAAAGUGUGGGACGUAUCCAGUUAUGUAUGUACCUUAUCAAUCCGGCACGGCUAACUCCGUGCCAGCAGCCGCGGUAAUACGGAGGAUUCGAGCGUUAUGCGGAUUUAUUGGGUUUAAAGGGUCCGUAGGCGGCCUGUGAAGUCUGCGGUGAAAGUCUGUGGCUCAACCAUAGAAGUGCCGUUGAGACUGGGAGGCUUGAGUAUGGUUGAGGCAGGCGGAAUUCGUGGUGUAGCGGUGAAAUGCUUAGAUAUCACGAAGAACCUCGAUUGCGAAAGCAGCCUGCCAGGCCAUGACUGACGCUGAGGCACGAAAGCGUGGGGAUCAAACAGGAUUAGAUACCCCAGUAGUC
rnacentral:rRNA from 1 species